GGCUCUGUAGUUUAGUGGUUAAUGCAUUUGCUUGGCAAGCAGAAGGUUGGUAGUUUGAUUCUAGCGGGAGGCA
rnacentral:tRNA from 1 species